UCUUCCAGGUACACACUAACCAUCGAUGCUUCUCUACUCUGAAGUGAAACCUCUGUAAAUGAAGAUGUUAGAAGCGUUUCAGGAAAACGUCUGAAGUUUUCUGGUUGUGAAUUUGCCAUCUCAGCCAUCUUUUCACUUUCCUGAUGCUUUGUACUCAGAAUUGGGUCACGUGUAAUUUUGCAAUGCUACAAUAGUCCUUUUAUGUGAGAACCGCCCUUCUGCAACUUGCUUCCUCUGCAUCUUCAGUCUCAAGAUG
rnacentral:lncRNA from 1 species